CCUACGGGUGGCAGCAGUGAGGAAUAUUGGUCAAUGGGCGGGAGCCUGAACCAGCCAAGUCGCGUGAAGGAAGAAGGUACUUAGUAUUGUAAACUUCUUUUGUCGGGGAACACAGGCGGAGACGCAUCUCCGGGUGAGUGUACCCGAAGAAAAAGCAUCGGCUAACUCCGUGCCAGCAGCCGCGGUAAUACGAGGGAUGCGAGCGUUAUCCGUAUUUGUUGGAGUUGAAGGGUGCGCAGCGGGGAGAUCAAGUCAGCGGUAAAAUGUCGGGGCUCAACCCCGGCCGGCCGUUGAAACUGGUUUUCUAGAGUGGGAGAGAAGUAUGUGGAAUUCGUGGUGUAGCGGUGAAAUGCAUAGAUAUCACGAAGAACUCCGAUGGCGAAGGCAGCAUACCGGCUCCAUACUGACGCUGAGGCACGAAAGCGUGGGGAUCGAACAGGAUUAGAUACCCGGGUAGUC
rnacentral:rRNA from 1 species